GCAGUGAGGUUGUUUACCACAAACGCACACCGGAAACCGGAGCCAUCUUGCAGCUACCCGAUCGGCUGCCUACAUCCCGAGAUGUACUGAAGUUCAUGUAAAUGUCCCAGGUCCUACAGUAGCCAAGAGCUGUGUUGAAGCUCAGGGCCCAAGUUACCACCAAAGGCCAUGAUGAUGUUCUUGGUCCGUGCCACCAUCUGAGGCCAUUUUGAUGUCAUAUGAGCCAUGUUCCACCGUAGCCAGGAGACAUGUUGAUGCCUGUAGCCGGUUAUGGUCUGUGCCUCUGCUUGAAGCCAUAUUGAGGUUCACGGUCCAUGCUGCCGCCGAGAGGCAUGUCUGGGUCCAUGGUCCUACUGUACCUAGGGGCCUAGGGGUCCUUGGUCUGUACUGCCACCAGAGACCAUGCUGAGGUCUGCGGUACAUACUGAGGCUGGAGACCAUGUGAAAGUCUGUGAACCAUGCUCCCACUGUAAAGGCCAAGAAAGCUGCUACUUUGUGGUGUGGGAUUGAUGAUUGCAGAUUCACAGCAGAGAAACAGGGCCAUAGAAGGUUUCUGUGACAACUCCUAUUCCCACCUCCAGCCCCCAAAAGUAACAGCCUAGACGGAAAACCAUCAAAGAGAGCUCUUAAAAUAGUGUCCAGGAGCAAUAAAGAAAAAUGAAGUUGGAAACAUUUACAAGAAAUGGAUGGAUCUGGAAUUACAUGAAAUGAAGCAUCCUCGUCUUAAGGAGACAGAUCCGGCAUGUUCUCUCUAAUGUAAACUGUAAUUUACAUGCUUAUGAAGGUCCUUUGUGUAUUUAUUAUGGCUUCCAGCUUAACGUUUUUAUGGGAUUUCAGAGUGCGCCUCCUUUAUGAGUUGGCCCUGAGAAAUUUCCAGCACACAGCUCUCAGCUCUCAAGCCUGAGCUGUUGCCCUGGUGGAUCGUCUUGGAGUGUGCAUUCAGUAAUCCAUCCCUGUCUGGCUGAGAUCGUUUAUAACUCUGUGAAUGCAAAUCCCACAGACAUGAGGGCUGACCUUUUAUGCCUUUAUAUACAUUUGUGGCUCCUACUAAAGGAAAGUCCAAGAAUCCAGUAGUUUGCUCAGUCCACGAAGCUGGAUGUCUCAGCUGGCCUUCAGUAGACGCUGGAAUCCUGAAGAGGUAGGCUCAAAUGCCAGUGAAGGCUAGAGCAAGCGGGCAAAGAGCAAAAGCUUCCUUCUUCCAUGUCUACAUAGGCUUCCAGCAGAAGGCAUGGCCCAGAUCAGAGGUUACAGAGGCAACUCUAGGGGAAACAGGAAGCGAAGGCAAUGCCUGGACUGGCUCUGCCUGAGCAUUUCUAUUGGAGGACUAGGAGUGGUGUUCUGGACCCUGCUACCUUGUCAAGAAUGUAGCUGAGGCUCCUGCAUUCUCCAGGAUUCUCUCCCUGCAGGCACCAACACACAAAGAAAUUGUUAUGGUACCGAGCUCUAAUUACUGAAAAAGAGACCAAACUUGUGGUAGCCUAUCUCCUGUGUCAUGACCACCCUCGACUGGCAAGGAUGACCCAACACGCACGAGCUCUUCUCAAGCAGUUUAUUCAGGAACCUUGAACAAUCUUCUGACCCCGGGGAAAAGCCCGCACAGGCUUAAGUACUCCUGCACCGACCAACCCUUGAGAGCCAGGUGGGUCCUGCAGAUAGGCCACUCUAUGUAGAAGGAAGCAUGCUGAUCAGGCACAGCCAAAUAAGGACUUGUUUACCUCAAGAGCACUCAACGUUGGGCUGGCGGAAGGCGGAGCAUCGCAGCUCUCUACACUCCUGGAAGGGUCCACCUAAUGGCUGACAAAACAGUAGUGAUGAGAAGGUGGGUGAUAUCAAAAGUUAUGAUGACCUAGGACCUCUGUUUGAGUAAAUGCAUGACUUCACAUAUUCUCCAUUCUUGAGGAGAAAAGCCAAUGUAAGCUCCAGAGCUUACUUCCUGGGCCAAGGUUACCUGACAUGGCCGGUGAGAGAUGAAUCUUUGACCUGGCACUGAUUGGAGGGAUCACAGCAAGACCAAGGCUGUGACAAGCUUAUUGCAAACAAUCAGACUUUUUAUACCUUUCUCAGAAACAGAUCAAUACAAUGGUAGUUGGCAGGAAAGCUGUACAGGGUACACAAGAUUAAUGUCCAGCUGUCCAGCAGAACUUCUAUAUGCUUCAUUGACUUCUAGGGAACACAGAGAAUCUCAGGGUGGCCUGAAUGCUUCACUGACUGAGGGAGUAGUGCCUUGGUUUCUCAGGAACUGAAAGGCACACUGUGGCCCAGGAGCCAUGGACUGUAAUCUGAAAAACCUAUGAUGCAUGCCUCUCAGGGCAGCUAGACCAGGCCAACUCCAUGAUUCACCAGAAGCAAAAACAUGUAUUUUUAGUUUAAAAUGUGUCAGAAUGCAGAAUAUAAGAAUGGAGUUGUGUGAGACUUCUCAGUCCUUGUGAGAAAACUCCAAGAAAACAAGACAAGAGUCUUAUAGCCUCGGUCUCCUCAAAACACAGAACUGUUCUUGGAAUGUGUUUCCAUGUUCCUCCCAGAUGUAGCAGACAGGAGUAGGCUCGCUUCCGCUGUUGUUAUUCAUAUGUCUCUGUGGAAAAACUUUUUUUUUGACAUAUGUGGCUUGUCCUUGUGAUUGAACACCUUACUCAUGUGAGUCUUCCUAACCCUCAGAAUAUAAAUUGCCUGAUGCUCUGAAUAAAUUUGACUAUUGCAUGAAA